CACCAUGGUCCCUAUCUUGUGUGGCAUGUAUAAACUGAGACUCACCAGUGAAUCGAAUGUCACCCUGUGGCUGUCUCAUAAACAGUGAUCUCCUGUCCUCUAGUUUUUCUCUGAUCAUCAGAUCCAUAACUACUACUAAUAUCAUCAUCACUCUCCCUGAUCUCCGAAUUUGAGCCAGAUAGCUCCUGUACUCUCGAGAGUG
rnacentral:lncRNA from 1 species